AUUGAACGCUGGCGGCAGGCCUAACACAUGCAAGUCGAGCGGUAGAGAGGUGCUUGCAUCUCUUGAGAGCGGCGGACGGGUGAGUAAUGCCUAGGAAUCUGCCUAGUGGUGGGGGAUAACGUUCGGAAACGGACGCUAAUACCGCAUACGUCCUACGGGAGAAAGCGGGGGGAUCUUCGGACCUCGCGCCAUUAGAUGAGCCAAGGUCGGAUUAGCUAGUUGGUGAGGUAAUGGCUCACCAAGGCGACGAUCCGUAACUGGUCUGAGAGGAUGAUCAGUCACACUGGAACUGAGACACGGUCCAGACUCCUACGGGAGGCAGCAGUGGGAAUAUUGGACAAUGGGCGAAAGACCUGAUCCAGCCAU
rnacentral:rRNA from 1 species